rnacentral:rRNA from 1 species
CACAUGCAAGUCGAACGGCAGCACGGAGAGCUUGCUCUCUGGUGGCGAGUGGCGAACGGGUGAGUAAUAUAUCGGAACGUGUCCAAUAAUGGGGGAUAACGAGUCGAAAGAUUCGCUAAUACCGCAUACGCCCUACGGGGGAAAGCAGGGGAUCGUAAGACCUUGCGUUAAUGGAGCGGCCGAUAUCUGAUUAGCUUGUUGGUGAGGUAAAGGCUCACCAAGGCGACGAUCAGUAGCUGGUUUGAGAGAACGACCAGCCACACUGGAACUGAGACACGGCCCAGACUCCUACGGGAGGCAGCAGUGGGGAAUCUUGCGCAAUGGGCGAAAGCCUGACGCAGCAACGCCGCGUGCGGGAAGAAGGCUUUCGGGCUGUAAACCGCUUUCAGUAGGAACGAAACUGACGGUACCUACAGAAGAAGGAGCGGCCAACUAUGUGCCAGCAGCCGCGGUGACACAUAGGCUCCAAGCGUUGUCCGGAUUUAUUGGGCGUAAAGAGCUCGUAGGCGGUUGAGUAAGUCGGGUGUGAAAACUUUGGGCUUAACCCAAAGAUGCCACUCGAUACUGUUCAACUUGAGUUUGGUAGGGGAGUGGGGAAUUCCUUGUGUAGCGGUGAAAUGCGCAGAUAUAAGGAGGAACACCGGUGGCGAAGGCGCCACUCUGGGCCAAUACUGACGCUGAGGAGCGAAAGCGUGGGGAGCAAACAGGAUUAGAUACCCUGGUAGUCCACGCGGUAAACGGUGGUCACUAGGUGUGGGUCUCUUCAAACGAGAUCUGCGCCGUCGCUAACGCAUUAAGUGACCCGCCUGGGGGAGUACGGUCGCAAGACUAAAACUCAAAUGAAU